rnacentral:rRNA from 1 species
UACGUAGGCAGCAAGCGUUGUUCGGAGAUACUGGGCGUAAAGGGUGUGUAGGCGGUUCUUUAAGUUUGGUGUGAAAUCUCCCGGCUCAACUGGGAGGGUGCGCCGAAUACUGAGGGACUAGAGUACGGGAGAGGAAAGUGGAAUUCCUGGUGUAGCGGUGAAAUGCGUAGAUAUCUGGAGGAACACCGGUGGCGAAGGCGGCAUCCUGGACCGACACUGACGCUGAGGAGCGAAAGCCAGGGGAGCAAACGGG